UUUUUGGCUGACGCUCUCGUUUUGCUUGCACAUGCACGUCGAGGGGUAACAUUGGUCGCUUGCACCAGAUGACGACCGGCGCACGGGUGAGUAACGCUGUAUACAAUCUACCUAUUACUGGGGUAUAGCCCGGAGAAAUUUGGAUUAACCCCCCAAGGUAUGUAAAAGUGGCAUCACUUUUACAUUAAAAUUACGGUGGUAAUAGAUGAGUAUGCGUCCCAUUAGUUAGUUGGUAAGGUAACGGCUUACCAAGGCAGCGAUGGGUAGGGGUCCUGAGAGGGAGAUCCCCCACACUGGUACUGAGACACGGACCAGACUCCUACGGGAGGCAGCAGUGAGGAAUAUUGGACAAUGGAGGCAACUCUGAUCCAGCCAUGCCGCGUGCAGGAAGACUGCCCUAUGGGUUGUAAACUGCUUUUACAGAGGAAGAACCGCACCCACGUGUGGGUGUUUGACGGUACUCUGCGAAUAAGGAUCGGCUAACUCCGUGCCAGCAGCCGCGGUAAUACGGAGGAUCCAAGCGUUAUCCGGAAUCAUUGGGUUUAAAGGGUCCGUAGGCGGGACAAUAAGUCAAGUGGUGAAAGUCUGCAGCUUAACUGUAGAACUGCCAUUGAAACUGUAGUCCUUGAGUCAUUAUGAAGUGGUUAGAAUGAGUAGUGUAGCGGUGAAAUGCAUAGAUUUACUCAGAAUCCGUUGCGAAGCAGGUCACUAUAAUGUCUGCCCUUAUGGACGAACCUAGUGCGACAGGAUAGAUCCCUGGUAGCUCCCCGUAAACAUGGUACUACUUUCCGGCCAUUGAGGGUGGGUGGUAAGCAAAGUAAAAUACCCCUGGGAGUCCUUC
rnacentral:rRNA from 1 species